CGGCAAUUUAAAACCGAGAAAAAAUAUGCUAUUAACUUCCUAAACCUGUGUAUAACAAAAAUUUUAUUGUCUGAUAGAGUCUUUAACCAGAAACAGGAAUAUGAAAAGAAACACAAGAGAAUAAGAGAAGAGAAGCUUAAUUGCUUUGAUUCACAUUUAACAAACAUCUCUCACAGGGUACAUAACCUCGGUAAGGAAGAAACCUUUUUACAAUUUUCAACCCAUGAAAUAAUCACAGGUAAAAAGUCAGUGUUACAUAAUACAUAUAAUAACAACAUCAGCACCACCAAAAAUAAAAAUAGGUUGUUCAAACAUCAAUCCCAAAAAAUAAACAAAGAAUGA